rnacentral:rRNA from 1 species
UACGAACUGCGCAAACGUUAUUCGGAAUCACUGGGCUUAAAGGGUGCGUAGGCGGGUUGCCAGGUCAGAUGUGAAAGCCCACGGCUCAACCGUGGAAUUGCGUUUGAAACCGGCAGUCUUGAGGAAGUCAGAGGUAUGCGGAACUGAUGGUGGAGCGGUGAAAUGUGUUGAUAUCAUCAGGAACACCGGUGGCGAAAGCGGCAUACUGGGACUUUUCUGACGCUGAGGCACGAAAGCCAGGGGAGCGAACGGG